CGUCCGUGGUGUUUUCUUACUUUAAGUAAGUCCAAACCAAAAUCUGGUGAAUGAACACGAAGCAAAAUAUUUGUUCCCUGAUAAAUUUAUUGACCUCGGCAAUUUGACAUUCUAACAGUCUAUCCUGCACACGAAACUGCUCUGGUUCAAGAUGUUGUUGGAACAAAUUCCACAAAUAAAUCGAAUAAUAUGGAAGCUCGAGAAAAACAACUUUAAUUGUAGGAUAAUCGGAAAGGAACUUAUAAAUUUGUCUGUAUGUUUCACAUAUGUAAUUUACUCUCUCAUUAUUAACCGAUCGUAAUUUAAUAAAUUUUCCAGUUUUUUCUGUCAGGUCACAAGUACCUAGCCAAAUGUAAAUUGUAAUAUGUUGUGAAGAAAGUUCCUGAAUUUUAGAUUCUAAGUUUUCUUUUAACCAAGUAAACUGAGUUUCGGUGUCCGCACCACUUUUCCACCACCAAAAUAUUUUAUUAUCAGGAUGCGAUGACCAGUCAAUAGUGUUAUAGCUAAAUAUUUGGCCUUACUAUCAGACAAUAUUACAGGUAUUGUGCGCAAAAGAGGCGCUUGGUGAAGUCUCUGCUCUAAAUUACGCACUUGUUUACUCACACGGGCAAGACUCAUUUAUAAUUGAUGCGUCUUUGUAUAUGUUGAAAAAAAACUGUGUUAUAAAUGAAUAUAUAUUUGUAUAAUGCUAUAGUCACUGGUCAAAAUGCUCUCAUAAUUUAUCCAUAUUGACGAAUCAACCACGUGUGUCGUCCACGUGUAUGGGAUCUACAUGUAUUAUCAACGGGAGUCACAUUUUCAAAAAUAAUUAAAAUGUCUUUUAAAAACAGCAAAUAUUCUCAUAAAAUUGUUAAAAGUCUCCUAUUAAUCUUUUUAGGGUCACUCCACCAUGUAACGAUAUCGCCUCGUCUUAAUUAUAAGUUUUGGGUUGGGACUAGCUCAAGCAAUAAAACACGUCUUACGUUCACGACAUUUAAUGAAAGAGAGAGUAAAACAAAAAGGCGUUUCCGGACAUCACUUGUACAGUUCCGUAAAACAUAUAAACUGAAUUACACAUAUAUAA
rnacentral:lncRNA from 1 species